CCUACGGGAGGCAGCAGUGGGGAAUAUUGGGCAAUGGGCGCAAGCCUGACCCAGCAACGCCGCGUGAAGGAAGAAGGCUUUCGGGUUGUAAACUUCUUUUGUCAGGGAAGAGUAGAAGACGGUACCUGACGAAUAAGCCACGGCUAACUACGUGCCAGCAGCCGCGGUAAUACGUAGGUGGCAAGCGUUGUCCGGAUUUACUGGGUGUAAAGGGCGUGUAGCCGGGUUGACAAGUCAGAUGUGAAAUCCUGCGGCUUAACCGCAGAACUGCAUUUGAAACUGUUGAUCUUGAGUACUGGAGAGGCAGACGGAAUUCCUAGUGUAGCGGUGAAAUGCGUAGAUAUUAGGAGGAACACCAGUGGCGAAGGCGGUCUGCUGGACAGUAACUGACGUUGAGGCUCGAAAGCGUGGGGAGCAAACAGGAUUAGAUACCCGGGUAGUC
rnacentral:rRNA from 1 species